GACGAACGCUGGCGGCGUGCUUAACACAUGCAAGUCGAACGGAAAGGCCCUGCCUUUGUGGGGUGCUCGAGUGGCGAACGGGUGAGUAACACGUGAGUAACCUGCCCUUGACUUUGGGAUAACUUCAGGAAACUGGGGCUAAUACCGGAUAGGAGCUCCUGCUGCAUGGUGGGGGUUGGACAGUUUCGGCGGUUGGGGAUGGGCUCGCGGCUUAUCAGCUUGUUGGUGGGGUAGUGGCUUACCAAGGCUUUGACGGGUAGCCGGCCUGAGAGGGUGACCGGCCACAUUGGGACUGAGAUACGGCCCAGACUCCUACGGGAGGCAGCAGUGGGGAAUAUUGCACAAUGGGCGGAAGCCUGAUGCAGCAACGCCGCGUGCGGGAUGACGGCCUUCGGGUUGUAAACCGCUUUCGCCUGUGACGAAGCGUGAGUGACGGUAAUGGGUAAAGAAGCACCGGCUAACUACGUG
rnacentral:rRNA from 1 species